rnacentral:rRNA from 1 species
AUGCAUAUGGCACAGGAUCCGGACAUGCAUAUGGCACAGGAUCCGGACGACGAUGACGACCACGGUACAUUUACCAACGUCGAUAAGUACUUUGCCGAACAUGGGUACGGUGACGAAUUCUUGGGGCCUCCUUCUCAAGAACCCAACCCUGCAAAAGACGACCGUGAUCUAACUGGUACCGCGAAGAAACCCAAUUGCAACAGGCGUCAUAUGGGGUUCAGUUCUCAGGAGAUGCCUCCAGCUGCCGCCUUCACCAAGCCUCAGAUAGCUGAGGUGCAAAAUAUUAUCAGCCCCAACACACUCAAGAAGGCGAUCUCUGAGCAGAACUCGACCCCAUUACAGCAGAAGAAGGGACGGAAAAGAAAGAAUAACAAGGAUGGUGCGAGCCAGCCGGCACCGAGUACGAUCCGUACUCAGGACGGGUCACCUUCACCUAAGGAUAUCUCGAGGAGGGUGCAUGUGGCGGGUAGGCCGAUGCUACCGACUAAUCUGCUCAAUGCUGCAACCGGUGCUAUGCGGAGUCUGCAUGACCGUGUUCUUUCUUUGGAGAAGCGGCGUCUCUUCGAGAAUGAUGUGGCAUACCCAGUUUUUGUGGCCAAGGUGCCAGAGGGCAAGGGCUUUGUGGAUAGCGCCAUCGGGGGUACGGUGGUCCUGCGGUUUGAUGACAUCUUCGCUAUGUUUAACCUUCAUCCGUUGCACUACACCUUUGUUCGGCUAUUUUCGCCGAGUAUGGAGAUGCGGAUCAUUAGAGACAAGACCCCAAACAUCGUGAUAGUCGACCCCUUCUACAUGUGUGCCAAGAUCUUGGGCAGCGCUGGGGACUGGCAAGUCGCGAGUUCACACCUCGAAGGCGUCAUUCUGGCAAACCCAGAUAAGGAUAACUUCCUCGUGCCUUAUUUUCCCGAGUAA